GGGGGAAUUUUGGACAAUGGGCGCAAGCCUGAUCCAGCCAUUCCGCGUGCAGGAUGAAGGCCUUCGGGUUGUAAACUGCUUUUGUACGGAACGAAACGGUCUGCCCUAAUACGGCGGGCUAAUGACGGUACCGUAAGAAUAAGCACCGGCUAACUACGUGCCAGCAGCCGCGGUAAUACGUAGGGUGCAAGCGUUAAUCGGAAUUACUGGGCGUAAAGCGUGCGCAGGCGGUUAUAUAAGACAGAUGUGAAAUCCCCGGGCUCAACCUGGGAACUGCAUUUGUGACUGUAUGGCUAGAGUACGGCAGAGGGGGAUGGAAUUCCGCGUGUAGCAGUGAAAUGCGUAGAUAUGCGGAGGAACACCGAUGGCGAAGGCAAUCCCCUGGGCCUGUACUGACGCU
rnacentral:rRNA from 1 species